rnacentral:rRNA from 1 species
AACGCGAAGAACCUUACCAGCUUUUGACAUGCCCUGGACGGAAGACAGAGAUGUCUUCUUCUCUUCGGAGCAAUCCGACUUCCAGACAGGUGCUGCAUGGCUGUCGUCAGCUCGUGCCGUGAGGUGUUGGGUUAAGUCCCGCAACGAGCGCAACCCUCGUCGUGUGUUGGUCCGCAAGGAUCUCUCACGCGAGACCGCCGGUGAGAAGCCGGAGGAAGGUGGGGAUGACGUCAAGUCAGCAUGGCCCUUACGUCCCGGGCUACACACGUGCUACAAUGGGUAGGACAACGAGUCGCUAGCUAGUGAUAGUCUGCUAAUCUCUUAAACCUACCCUCAGUUCGGAUUGAAGGCUGCAACUCGCCUUCAUGAAGUCGGAAUCGCUAGUAAACGCAGAUCAGCUACGCUGCGUUGAAUACGUUCCCGGGCCUUGUACACACCGACUGUAC